AUCCAAUGCAACAAGUUCAAUCCCCAUUUCUUCUCUUCCACUAAAGUUAACAUGGUAUCAGAGCACUGGGUUGCUUGAUCCAAUCUCCAUCUACGUUCUCAGCCACGCUGCCCCUGGGAGGGAAAAUCUUGCUUCCCAGGGGCGGCCUCGUCGAUCUGAGCAUCAAGCAGGAGCAGCAAUUUUGGGUCAAUCAUCAAGCAGCAGCAUAAGCCCAUCGUCAUGGAUGCAGCAGCCUGAGAGCAACAACAGCCUACUGCCUAGCCUCUACCUCGUCAUUCAUCAUCCCUCUUCAGGUCCAAGCAACAACAUCAGCACGCCAUCAUCAAGCGCAGCAAAUAGAUCCAGUCAUCCAAAUCCAACAAGCAAAUAUCAAGCAGCAAGCAGUCAGCCGGCGCACCUUUGCCCUCCAGAUCGAGGCCAGCCGGUCCGGAAAAAAAUCUGGUGCAGACCGGAUGCAAACAGCAGUCCGUGCAGCCCCGACGCGGAUGCAUGACGCGUGGAUGGGGCGCUCAUCCGACGGCCGGCCCACACAAGCGAGUCCGCAUCGCACCUAAAUCUCAGCUCGGCUCAAGAGCGAUCUCAACACACCACAACUCGGCUCGCGCUCGCUCCGAUCGGCUCGAUCUAGUCCGAGAUGCAGUCAUCGUUCCCCUCCGCCUGUUUCUUAUCCCGUCGCCCCUUUCUCAUCCGCUGUUGGGCGCAUGGAGAUGGAAUGCGGCGGCGGCUCCCUCGGAUAGCUAGGGCAGUGGCGGCGCCCUCCCGUGCCUGGAGCAGGGCAGUGGCGGCGCCCUCCCAUGCCUGGAGCAGGGCAGCGACAGUGGAAGGGCCAGGCGACACCCUCCCGUGCAUUGAGUUUCAUAGUUUGAUUGCUCGGUUUUGGUUUUCAUUGCGGAGGCCAAUGCAGAAUUGCAGGUGAGAUAUAUGGGGUGCGGCAUGAAUGGCAAUUGAAGAUUGGAAGAGCAUGAAUGAGAGGAUGCUGAAGAAAUGACAUAGAACAAUCAAUGACAAGAUAAUGAAUGUAGCCUUUCUUUGUAAUUCCUACUAUGUAGUAUAUACACUAUUAGGAGUUUGUAAAGAUUCAGAACACCUUGUAUCCUGAGAACUAGUUUUGCCAGAUGUCAAGUUAUCCUGAGAACUAUUGUAACCUUGUGCAAAAUACAAAAGAGAAAAAUUGAUUGCCUAAAAGGAUGGUAAAUACAGCAGGCAGAAGUGGAUGGUGCUAAAAGGAUUGUAGUUUGAUGAAUGUAGCCUUCGCUGUUAAUCCAUACAAUGUAGUCUGUAUACUCUUAGGAGUAUGCAAGGAUUGUAGUCCAUAUGCUGUAAGUUUGGACCGCAUUUUUGGUCAAAUUGCAAGGAAACUCAGAUCGCUAUGUAAUCUGUACAAUGUAUUUCUUUUAUUUGAAAUACAUAUGGCAUGUUGGAUGUUCUGAAA